UCUUUCAAAAAGAAUAUAUAAUUUUUAAAAUCUUAAAUGAUAAAAUAUUAAAAAGUUAAUAAAAAAAUCUCAAAUAACAUAAAUACAAAGUUCAUAAAAUUAUCUUUUAAUCAAUAUUUCCAUAUACUUACGCGUGUCUACCAGGGUCAGCUGUUUCGGCGAAAAAUGAGUUUUAUUAGCACGAAAACAUUAGAAACAAAAGGGAUAACUCUUUUAUUAUGUAAAUACGACCGUUAGAUAGCGUCUUUGUAUUUUAGCUAAGUUUAAUGAUGUUGAUUUUUAUUACUAAAUAACUUUAUGAGCACAUUGCAAUGAACAUCGUGAUUUUGAUUUUUAUUACUAGAUGGCUCCAUGACUUUAUUAUAAGAUGACUAUGUGAUACUAGUAGCGUUCUUUUUUGAUAAACCGCUCUAGUAUUUUAUAUUUUUAUUCUCCUACUUAAUUCAUUCAUUAUGUUUCGUUCAAAGCAUGUUUGACUUCAGUGACCGAUAUAGAAAAAUAUGAAUUAUAAGCAUGAAUAUAAGUAAGAGAAUACAGCACCUAUUAUGUCGACGUAUAAGCCUAUCCUCUAAGUGAUAAAAAAACUAUAGAUGUAUUUCUUAUCCCUAUCGUUAUUUUCAUUUGCAAUGAGCAAAUGAUUACUCCGUAAUUUUUAGUCGGAUAGAAAGAACUAAUUUGAUGUUUACUCAUAGGAAUACAAAAGAAUACUAAUCAAAUGUUAUAAUUCGGUCAAAAGUUCAUUUUUGUUAAUAAUUUUUUGGCAAUUUUAAGUUUGAAAAUUAAGUAUACCGAAAUAUUAAAUUAAAAUUACUUUAUAUUCAUCGUAUUUUACGAGUUAUCUAAAGUUUAAAAAAAUAUACAGACUUAAUUAUUAUAAUUUAUUGUUAUAUAUUAUCAAUAACUAGUAGAGUUUACUAUAGGACUGUAAAUAUCUUCAAUGAAUGUUAAAUAAUCAAAAAAAUGGUAUUGUAAAAUACUAUUUAAGCAUGAUAUGAAAAUCAGUAGUGAGGUA